AUUAUUCGGUGGAUCAUUUAUAGGAGGAGGGGGAUCAUCAGCUAUGUUAAAUUAACUAUUUCUGAACAAAGGUCUUUGUUCUUAGAGUUAUUGCGAGUUUUGUUUAAAGCAUUUAAUGACCCAUGAUCAUUGUUCGUAGGGGCAUUUUGUGCUUCACUGCGCUCGAGAAAUAGCUUCCCCUUAAUAUAUUGGAUUUCUAACUUAAGUUUAUGUAUUUCUUCGUCUUUUUGUUUUAUAGUAGAUUCCAUCUCCUUCUGCUUAACGUGCAUUGAGUUGAUAUCAUCAAACUUAGAUUCUUGCCGAGAUAUCGAAGUAAAUAGUCGAGACUCUAAAGUCUUUAAGUCGAGUUUCACUCCUUCCAACUGAGCGAUUAUAUAUCUGUUUAUACAGUUAUCAGUAUGUUCACAUACCUUAGCCUUUGAUACCGAACUGCUGUUGCUCACAUUUGUUACCUCAUCACAUUCUAAAUUAAGUAUUUAUCUUACUAGAUACAAACGCAAUGUUUUCUCCUUCGUCAUACCUAAUUACAUGUGCUCUUAUUUUUCCCGCGCAUUAUAAUUUAUUUAAUAAAUUAUGUGUAACUGUCAAUCACUACAUUGUUCUCUUCUUUUUUUUUAACAAAACUCAACGGAAUAACUAUGAUUUGUUCGUUAUUGUUCAUAUCAUACUAAAGUUCUAUGAAAUAAGUCCUGGGGCCGGUUGUAUAAAAAAGUGAUUAAAGUUAACUGCAGUUAGUGGAAACGUCAUCCAAUAAGAAGCGUUUAUUUGAGAGUUAAUCACUAUUUAACUACAAAAUAGUGGUUAGAAAGUGAUUAAGAGUUUUAUACAACCGGCCCCAGAUGGUAUUGAGUAACCAAAUUUCUCGUUGAUCUUCUUGAUAUCGGGUGACUUUCUUCUAUAAAGUCCUGCAUAUCAUCUCCGACCCUGUUGUCCUGUACAUCUUCCACGGUAGUUGACUUCUCGUCAUCACUACUUUGUUCGUCUACAGGUUUAAUUAACUACUUUGAAAUGAGUCACAUUACGCGUGGUGGUUCGUCUGCCAUUUCGUGCCGUAGCUGUUGCGCCUUUCCUCUCCACGAUCGUAAAUCGCUCGGGUUUGAAUCUUGGAGAUAACUUGUUGUUUGGUUUCUGUUUACAAAUAACAAUGUCCCCUUCCUUGAUCUUGGAUGUUUUGGUGUUAAGGACCUCAAAUUUCAGAGAGGUUAGUUUGUGAAUUUUCUCAGAGGAUGUAUUAAUUUGCAUGUACAUGGAAAUGUAUUUUUAGACAAAAUAAACUAGUAUAAACCAGUCAUAUUUGUUCUUUGAUGGUAAAUACGGUAUUGGAAUGAUGGCCCAUGUAUCUGGAAAUAUUUCCACUUUCUAAAGUUGUAAAAUUCCUUUGGAAUUUUGAGUAAAACCUUCGAACUUCGGGCGAUGUUUUUAAGUAAUUUACUAGAUGCGCGGCCGCUGACAUGAUCUGAUAUGAUCACGGGCGGGGGUCACAGAACGCCCGGUGUCACAGUGAUACGAACAUCCCCGUGACUUUAGUAUCCCCACACUAAUAUCCCCAGGGAUAAAAGUACCCCCGGUGGGGAUACCUACAACACUAGAAGCGAAAGGAUGCAAUAUUCAAAAUAUGAGCAGGAGGAAAGUCAUUCAUCUGUGCCUUUAUUUUCCGGUAAGCAUUUGUUUUUACAGUAAUGCUGCAGUAAAUGUGUAUAAUGUGAUUGUGCUAAUGUUGUAAGACAGCAUGUUCGCGUUGCAUAAAUUGGUGUCUAACAUAGUGUAGAAUUACUCUUAACAUUAAUCCUAAUGCAUAGUAGUACAUUGUACUUGUUAUUUCCUGACACUGCAUUCUUGACUGCACUUCCAAUUCAUAUCUUUUCUUUUAAAGACCUGUUUCCCUAGUGAUGUGGGAAUGUAGGGUGGUUCUUCAAGGAUACGCAGAACACGACCUCCAUAUUGCUGGGGAUACACAUAUUCCUAGUGAGGUGAGCAUGGGGAUACACAUAUCCCUAGUGAUAUUAGUAGGGGAUACACAAAAGACGGGGAUACUCAUAUCACUGUGACACCGGAAUAAAAUGACUACCAAUAUGGCCGGAUAUGCAUCAACAUUUUAAAGUUUUUUAUCAUGUUAUUCAUGUAUUACGAUAUUAAAACGAGAUCCUAAAAGCCUCGUCACUACAGAUUGUUUCUACUAAAUUUAAUGUUGGUCACAGACAGGCAAGUACGGUAUGUUUACUGCAAUAUUUACCUUUAACUUUGCUUUUACUGUAAAUCUAUAUUUUCAUGAUCAGUUCAUAUUUUGUGAAUGUGAUUGUGUAUUAAAAUAUUUCUCCUAAAAUUCUACGCGUAUCGUUGGUUCAGUAGUUCUGUUGCUGGUUGUAUAUAAUAACAGUUCAAUGAAUAACUUUGCAGUUUGAGCUGUUGAUAUCAUAGAGACCUUACUAUAAGUAUAACAGUAAUUUAGUAAAGUUUGAUAGUCAUGUGAUAGCUGUAUAAAAGCUAAGCAAGUACUUUUGAUGUUUUGAUAUCAUUGUAUAGUUGAAAUAGAAUAGAUAAGUGAUCUGUAUAUAUGGGAAUAUUAAUUUUCAACCAUAGUAUUUGGCAGUUGGGUUCUAUUAUUAUGUUGAAUUAUUUUCACUGUGAUUUAUUAAAUACUGGGUAUUACUGUAUACAGGGCCUCUUUUAACAUAAAGACUGGGGGGGACAUGGCCCCCUCCCAGCCCCCCUUACUGCCCCCCCAGUCGGCAAUUUUGUCCCCCCCAGUAGAAAGUCCCUUUUCAUAUUUUUUGGUGUGAAAAUAACUCCCAAAGUCAAUAUUGGACAACAUAAUUAAUCCUUAUUCCAGUAUUCCUUUCGCAGAAUCUCUGCUAUUCCUUUGCCUUCCCAUUCUGGACAAUGAAAAAUAGAAAAAUAGUCAAAUAGGAAAUUUCGAUCUGCAAAAAAAUAUUUUUCAAAGUGGGACUGGGAACGAAAGUGGGAACAUUGGGAUUUUGGGGGAAAUCUCGGGAUAUUCGGGAAGCUUAGUAGGGAAUUUCAAAAACAUAAUUUACAUCAAAAUUUACAUGCAAAUUGCUUGCAUUUGUUUGUACUAUUAGUAUUAAAAAUGCCGUAUGCAAAUAAAAGAAAAGCGAAUAUUGAAAAACUGUUAAAACAAGAAGCGAGUAAAUGCAAAAAGGUAUCGGAUUUCUUCACAAAGAACGAAAAUGCAAGAACAUCGUCAUCGACAUCGUGCGAUACAAACGUUGAGAAGGAGUCAGAGCAAUUAUUAAAUAUGGCGCCAAUUGAAGUGGAAAGCGAAGUACAAGGCACUGCAGCUACUGGAGGCACUGACCAAGGAGAACCUCGUAAAGACAAUGAACUGAAUGAAGUGGAUUUUGAUAUUCGAAAUUCAGAUAGGGAAGGUAAUGUUCAAUUUGUUCAUACACGGGCUCCUUCGAAUAAUAUUCCAAGCAAUACUACACCUUCGACCUUAUCG